rnacentral:misc_RNA from 1 species
GAUGAAGAACGUAGUGAAAUGCGAUAAGUAAUGUGAAUUGCAGAAUUCAGUGAAUCAUCGAAUCUUUGAACGCACAUUGCGCCCGCCAGUAUUCUGGCGGGCAUGCCUGUUCGAGCGUCAUUUCAACCAUCAAGCCCCCGGCUUGUGUUGGGGACCUGCGGCUGCCGCAGGCCCUGAAAACCAGUGGCGGGCUCGCUAGUCACUCCGAGCGUAGUAAUACAUCUCGCUCAGGGCGUGCUGCGGGUUCCGGCCGUUAAAAAGCCUUAUUUACCCAAGGUUGACCUCGGAUCAGGUAGGAAGACCCGCUGAACUUAAGCAUAUAAUAAGCGGAGGA